rnacentral:rRNA from 1 species
GACGAACGCUGGCGGCGUGCCUAAUACAUGCAAGUAGGACGCAGUUGCGAACGUGUGAGUAACGCGUAGGUAACUGGCUAUUAGAGGGGGAUAACUAUUGGAAACGAUAGCUAAUACCGCCUACUAGUAGAUGGACCUGCGUUGUAUUGGCUAGUAGGUAGGGUAAAGGCCUCCCUAGGCCACGAUACAUAGCCGACAUGAGAGGGUGAACGGCCACAACGGGACUGAGACACGGCCCAGACUCCUACGGGAGGCAGCAGUAGGGAAUCUUCGGCAAUGGGGGGAACCCUGACCGAGCAACGCCGCGUGAGUGAAGAAGGUUUUCGGAUCGUAAAGCUCUGUUGUUAAGGAAGCGGUACUUAACCAGAAAGGGACGGCUAACUACGUGCCAGCCGCCGCGGUAAUUC